UUAUGUGCAUGUUGUGGAUACUUUCACAAAUGACGAGGUGAAGGAUCCAUACGAAUCGAGGAAAACACUUAUUUUCUUCCGUGGGAGUACAGUCAGAAAAGAUGUAUGGUCACUCUUGUUCAUAUAAGUUCCUUUUCCAUCCACUUGAUGCACAUUCUGAGAUUUUUAAGUUAUGAUUUUUUUUCCGCUGCAGGAAGGUAAAGUACGUGC
rnacentral:lncRNA from 1 species